CGGCGGACGGGUGAGUAACACGUGGAUAACCUACCUAUAAGACCGGGAUAACUUCGGGAAACCGGAGCUAAUACCGGAUAAUAUAUUGAACCGCAUGGUUCAAUAGUGAAAGACGGUUUUGCUGUCACUUAUAGAUGGAUCCGCGCCGCAUUAGCUAGUUGGUAAGGUAACGGCUUACCAAGGCAACGAUGCGUAGCCGACCUGAGAGGGUGAUCGGCCACACUGGAACUGAGACACGGUCCAGACUCCUACGGGAGGCAGCAGAA
rnacentral:rRNA from 1 species